rnacentral:lncRNA from 1 species
GGAAAAGAAAGAGGAGAAAUUUUAGGACCUUCGCUGAAGAAGUCUGUCUGUUGCCCAGUAUGCAGCCCACUUUGUUCAAGGGCCUUCAUGACGAUAUUUAUGACUGGGUCGCAAUACUGAGACCCAGCUUAUAUGCAGAGGUGCUCGAACAUGCCCAUUUUACGGAAGACCUUAUCUUUGCUAAAUACCAACGUAUUGUUUGAGUCUAUACCCAACAAUAACCCCAACAACUUAGAAGGAGAUUGCUUGAUCCAGUAAGUAAACCUCCAGAUAAACGAACAAGAGUUGCCCUUCCUCUUGCCUUGCCCCCACCUAUAGCUCCACUUGCCUAUUCUUACCAACCCUGUCAGCAUUAUGGUCCCUCGCAU